rnacentral:rRNA from 1 species
CACGUAGUUAGCCGGUGCUUUUUCUGCAGGUACCGUCACUUUCGCUUCUUCCCUACUAAAAGAGGUUUACAACCCGAAGGCCGUCGUCCCUCACGCGGCGUUGCUGCAUCAGGCUUUCGCCCAUUGUGCAAUAUUCCCCCACUGCUGCCUCCCGUAGGAGUCUGGGCCGUGUCUCAGUCCCAGUGUGGCCGGUCACCCUCUCAGGCCGGCUACCCGUCGUCGGCUUGGUGAGCCGUUACCUCACCAACUACCUGAUAGGCCGCGAGUCCAUCCUUGACCGAAGUUCUUUCCAGCUCCUGGAGAUGCCUCCGAAGCUCGUAUCCGGUAUUAGACGUCGUUUCCAACGCUUAUCCCAGAGUCAAGGGCAGGUUACUCACGUGUUACUCCACCCGUUCGCCACUGAUCCAGAAGGAGCAAGCUCCCUCUUUCACCGUUCGACUUGCAUGUGUUAAGCACGCCGCCAGCGUUCAUCCUGACGCCAGGAUCAAACUAC